rnacentral:misc_RNA from 1 species
CAUUUACACCCUCAAGCUCUGCUUGGUGUUGGGCGUCUGUCCGCGCUUCUCGCGAGGACUCGCCCCAAAUCUAUUGGCAGCGGCAUCGCCGGCUUCUCGCGCAGCACAAUGCGUCAUGGAAGGUUACCGGCGGGCUUGCGUCCAUCAAGUCACCCCUCAAGUUUGACCUCGAAUCAGGUAGGGAUACCCGCUGAACUUAA